rnacentral:rRNA from 1 species
ACUCCUACGGGAGGCAGCAGUAGGGAAUCUUCCACAAUGGGUGCAAACCUGAUGGAGCAAUGCCGCGUGAGUGAAGAAGGUCUUCGGAUCGUAAAGCUCUGUUGUUAGAGAAGAACACGUGCUAGGUAACUACUAGCGCCUUGACGGUAUCUAACCAGAAAGUCACGGCUAACUACGUGUCAGCAGCCGCGGUAAUACGUAGGUGACAAGCGUUGUCCGGAUUUAUUGGGCGUAAAGGGAGCGCAGGCGGUCUGUUUAGUCUAAUGUGAAAGCCCACGGCUUAACCGUGGAACGGCAUUGGAAACUGACAGACUUGAAUGUAGAAGAGGAAAAUGGAAUUCCAAGUGUAGCGGUGGAAUGCGUAGAUAUUUGGAGGAACACCAGUGGCGAAGGCGAUUUUCUGGUCUAACAUUGACGCUGAGGCUCGAAAGCGUGGGGAGCGAACAGGAUUAGAUACCCUGGUAGUCC